ensembl:lncRNA
CAGGAAUAGGCAUCGCCUUGCCUCUGGGGCGUCUCUGCGGGGUCUGCGGAGGUAACCCGGGGGAGCUGCUAAAGCCUCGCUUAUUUUACCUGCUCGCACCGUGAGCUGCCUUUUGAAACAAAAGAAACGAACUAUCGCCGGCUGAAGGCAUUAGCAGCCUUCCACCAUUAGCGCCUGGCGCACCUGAACUUGAUGUGAUCGCCAGCCCCAACGUAAACAAGGGCUCGCGCACAAAAAGCUUGCAAUGGCACCUUGUGCAUUAUGCAUCACAAGAAAAUGACUGCCAGUAAAUGCAGAGCAACUUCCUGGAGCUUUAUGUGUGCUGCGUUUGACAGACUCUGAGCUGAAUUUCUAAAGACCACCACCCCACACCCCCCCAAGCAGAUAACUGGGUGCACAGAGAAAGAGCAAUUUAAAGCGGGCAUCUCCUGUAGUCCUUGGAUGAAACACUAACAUUUUGCAGACAGCUUCAGUGUGCAAAGCAGAGCAGCGAGAAAACGUCGAUCGAAGCAUGCACAGGAUCUGAAACCUUGGAAGAAUGUUGUUUCGUGGGGACUGCUCUGCCUGUUUUUGUUAAGGGCUCAGGAUGCCAACCCAGGACCAGCUCUGGAGAAAUAAAGGCUGGGAAAAUGAACGAAUCAUAAAGCCAUAUUGCACAGCAGAGUCACUUUCCAGUCUGUGUUCUACAGUUCAUUCUUAUGCAGGCUUUUAAAAAAUGUGGUUUAAAUCCUACAAAUGAUGGCACGUCAUGCUACCAAGUAAUGGAUUGUAGGACACUGUCGAACAAAGGGGGCCAGGAAGCACAGAAGUCCACCUCUCCUCAACAUCAGCAAUUACUCCAUCACAGUAACCCCUCCCCAAAUAUUUAUCUAAUCUCUGCUUUAAUUAUUUAUACUGGUUGCUUUUUUCUGCUGUCCUUGGCAGUUUGGAGCACAAAUUAACCAUUCUCUGUUUCUCUGUGCAGAGACAUUCUGCCUAAGGUUUUUUUCCUAUUCUUUCUGCCCAAUCCUUAUUAAAUAUUAACCCCUUUUCUACUGGACAGAAAUCUCAAGCUGCACAAGGAUCACAGUUUCUCUCCAUUUAAAAUGUCUCUGCUUUCAUAAGCUUCUAGAUACAUUUCACAGCCUAGCAGCAGACUGCUUACCAGACUGGUAAACAUAGUGUGAUAGGGAAAAGUUAAAGCAUACAAUGCAACUAUUGUCCUGGAAUAUGAAAUUAGAGUCUGAAGACUAUAGGCUCUAUAUGCUGAACCUAUAUGCUCAAAUGUGUUUCUUUUGUAUUAUUUUUAGGAAGCAAGCAGAUAUCCACGUAAUGAAACAAGUAGAAUGCUACUUCUUGGCUCACACUGUAUUUAUUAAUAACAGGGAAAAUGAAUGGUGGAAAACACCCAAGGAAAGAAAGCACUUACAGUGCAACUAAUCCUGACAUUCCCUAAUCUUUCCUAUCUUUUCCUAAUACUGGAAUUUAGCAUGCUUAGAAACAGCAGCCCAGGGCAUAAUGAUAGCCACUGAGCAUGAGUGCUUACUGAGUAUAUGUGGAUUGGGUAACUUCUUUCUCCAUCUGUAGAUGAGAAUCAUUCUGACUGGAACAGUUGGCUCCUGUGAAAUCUCCAUUAGAGAUGGAGGCUGGUCACCACAGGCUAAUGGUUAACUAAGUUCUUCGUAAGGAUUAGCCACAAAAAAAAAAAAAAAAAUGGUGCUAACAAAGUGUUUAGCAGAUACUAGCUAUUCCAGUAGCUAAAUCUCCAUCUCACUGUACAUGAGAGUAACUGAAAAACAGUCUUUCCCAUUCCAUAAAAGUCUUGCCAUUUCACUGAUAAUCUCUGAUAUUUUCCAAAAUUUGUGACUUCUGUUAGAACAGCAGGUUACUACUGAUCAUACCAUAUUCACUAAGGCAACGUAAAGAUCACUCUGAUGAAACUCAAAGGAACAUCUUGCAGACAUCACUCCAGCACAGCACAGCACAGCACAGCACAGCACAGGGACAUGGUGGAAAGUACACCUUAAUAAGAAUAAGUGGGCUUCACUAAAGAACUCAGACGAAAGACAAUCCAAGUAAGGCACAGAGAAAUAAAAACUAUUUUAUUUCAAGCAAAUCUUGUCUCAGUCAUAAGGUUUUUCAUAAGAUAUGGCAUACACUGUACCCAUGCUAGCAAUGCACAAAUGGGGCGUAAGUAUUUUCAGUAUAUGUAAAGUGGUGGUAUGAUACUUUCUUCUCACAGAUAUAAAGUUUUCACACUGUAAUUGUCCAGUGUCUGGUCACAAGGAUCCACCAUACAAAAGAACGUGUAUCUGACUGCACACAUAUGUGAAGAAAUCUCCUAAAAUAUUGAAACGAAAGUUUGCUGCUUGCCUCCAAGCAUCUAUUUUCCUCACAUGCAUUGUCCAAAAUAUCAACAGCUAUUAGAAAUAUGGGAAGAAAUGACAGGGAUCAAAUAUGCAAUCCCCAAUGAAAUGUUGGUGACUCUUUCUAAAAAGCUAACCCACGUAGUUACCCUUCCUGACCAUUCUCCAUUAGAGCCAUACAUAAGAGGGAACCAUUUUACCAUACUGAAUGGUACAAACACUUUUUUUUGCAGAAAAAGUAUCUUAUGGAUGACAGCUUCAGAAUAUUCACUCUGCAGCUUUCAUGAACAUGGAAGUGAUACUUCUGAUAUGCAGCAAAGAACUCUGACUAACUAGUAUUUUUUAUCAGUGUUGCUGAUAGUGAUAUCAGUUGCUCAAAACUGCUGAUCGUGUUCUCAAGGUGUUUCCAUGCAGGCACGUACAGUUGCAAGCAAUUUCUGCCCAUGUUCCAAGAUGACUGAAUGUAAAUUGUAUCUGGUCUGGAAGCUAGUUAGAUAUAGUCAAGUUAAUAAAAGAACUACCAGCUAGAUGAAUUGGUUGAGCUAGUUGAUGACUAUGUGCACACAGGGUAGACAUUGUUCUAGUCCCACUAGAUAAUGAAAUACUAAUACAUUCAACACAGGUGGAGGAAAAAAAACCCUGAUUGUAAAAAUGGGAUAAAAUUUCAGAAGACAGUUCUGAGCAAUAACACACUUCAGUUUUUUUCUCAUUGUCAUCAGCAAGGAAGAAGAUCAGGUCCAUAGAGAUGUUAACAAAUUGGAGAAUUUGCCAAAAAGACAAUAAAAACAAUUAAGGAACGGGGGGGAACAGCUCAUGGGAAAAGAUUAAAAACUAAACACACAGAGCACAGAUAUGAACUGAGUGAAGAAAAGAUAAGGCUGAUGGAAGAUCUAAAACUGUCAAAAGGGUGAAAAAACCUGCUAAGGGUUCCCAGAAGGGAUACUCAUACCCAUAUAUGAGGAGUCAGGGUAAGUUAAAAUUACCAAAUUUAAUAAAUGACAAAGAGGCACUGAACAUUGUGAUAGCAUUCUUAGGAGAAUAAUACAAGGAAAUAAAAGUCAUUUACAACUGGACCAAACAAAACACUGGAAAUUAUACUAUAGGGAACAAUCCUAAAAUGGCUGGGGAGUGGUUUAAACAAUGUAGUAGGUCUUUUGAGCUUCUAAUUUUAAUGAUUCCUAGUUAUUAUUAGUUGCUAUCCCUAUUUAAGUGAUAGUCCCCAUUGUAAACUCUUUGACUAAGUAAGAACACAUAAAGGGAAUUAGAAAUCUCAAAUGGAGAAAAAAUGAUAUACAAAGCUCCUUAUAGAACGUUCAGAUUUUUUUCUAGUUUAAAAGGGAAAAUAGAAAGGAAAACAAAUAUAUGUAAACCUGGGAGGAAGUAAUUUUGUGCAUUAUUUUACAAAUUAUAAGCUUAAGGCUUUUGGAGCUCUUGAAAAGCAUUACAGUCUAAGGUACAUGUUAAAUACAUGGGAGAUCAUUUCACAGGCAUGUACAAAACUGGGGUGCAGUUUUAAAUUGAAAAACCCAUUAUAUGCUUGUCAGACCUGUGUGCUUCUCCACUGAUGACUUUACUUGAUCACAGAAACAAAUGCUUAAACUUUUUCCUGAAUCAGGACCUAAGCUCAUAUUGUCAUUGAUAUUUCAGUAGAGUAAUAAUUCGAUAGUUAUGGAAAGUCCUGCUUCCUAUUCCAGACACUCACACACACACACACACACACAUAUAUAUAUAUAUAUAAAACUUAUUUGUAUUGCUGCAGAAGUUCAGAGCUUAAUCAAAGACUUGAUAAGUGCUGUAAAAUUACAAGAACAAAUGUGAUCUAAAGUUCUAAACAACUUUAGGAAGAUGACCACAGGAUAGCAAAAUACAGGAUUGCGGGAGAAACUAUGAAUUCAUAGAUUCAACACUAAGAUUAAAACUUAUUUCACUGCUUUUACUAUCCUAAGGUGUUCAUAACACACUUUUAAAAAUAUAUGACUUUGGAGAACAGACUUCCAGCAAUAAGUGUAUCUUCUAAGGGGUUUUAAAGAAAUUUGGAGAGAAAUAGCAGAUUACAAUAGUAUGGGCCAUAAAAUGGGCAUCAUAGCAAAAAGGUGGUAAAGGAAUGAUUCACUGAGGGAAAAAAUUCCAACCAAUUGUUCACGAUAACUGCAGUUGAAAGCAGGAUCACUUCAAGGUAAAGACAUAUACAUGUAGGUAGGAAAAGUCCCAUUAUAGUCGAUGGAGAUUUAGUCAAGACAGUCAGCCUUGCCUGAAAGAAAUUAACUGGUCAGACAGGAUGUGCCUCUUCAGAGAGAGAUGAACAACACCCCAAGCUCCAUCACAUUUCCUCAAUCUCAUUUUGUUGCAAGAGGAACUAAGAUGCUGAGUAUGUGUUCAGGACAUUCAAAUUAAAAGGUUUCAGCUUCAGAGCAAGAGAACUCCAUAUAGACUGUUUCAUCUUGCAAUAAAUAUUACUCUUUCCAGCUGACUCACUUUUGUAAGCAGAGAUGUCUACUGCUACCUGACACAGCCUUGGCUUUCAGCUUCUGCUUCAGAGGGCACAGGUGUCCCUGUAGUUCUUUCUGGAAAUUUCUGCCAGCCCUUUACAAUUAUCUAGGAAUGUCUUGAAAUGGCUAAGAUACCCCUACUUGGGUGACUGAAUGUAGCCCAUAAUGACUCUCAGUACUUUUGUACUUGUUAAUAAGGAAUAAAAAAAGCAAAAGCUGACAUCAUCUGCCUCAUUUUGCAUAUUUCUUUUGCUUUGUUUCCUUCCCCCCGGAGAUAGUUC